CCACAAAAUCCAAUGAAGUCAUCACUUUUGAAUACAUCCUAAAGCGAAACAUAAGGAGAUAACAACGUUCCAAAGUACAAAAAGAAAAAAUGAAAAUCAAUAUUGCUAAUACACUCAACAUCGACCUCUCAAUAAUUCAAGGUUUAAACUUCUAGCUCUAAACCAAAAAUACAAAAGGAAAAGGGUAAAAUCAUCCAGGACACAACAAGCGUUGUGAUAUCAACAUAUAUGCAAAAUAUAUUCAUAACAAUUGAAGAUAAAGAUGUACUAAUAACAAAUUCGUCUUUGAGACAACUCAUCCCAGUAAGGUAGUAACCACUGAUUUUUUGCAGGAAAAACAAAGAAAAUCAAAUCAAGCCAAUGCCUUGAUUUUAGUUGAAAAAAGACAGUAGACGAAGACCCAGAGGCAAGACCAAAUAAUCCUCGAAUUGAUUUUCAAUGUCGGGAAAGAGAGAUCGAACUUCUUCCAAGUGUUUUUGGAGGAAUGGAGAGGACGGAGAACAACAAAUUAAAUUCAUUGCUACAUUUCCUAGGCUAUGUGUUGCCAUCGCUGGCUCUAAACAAUAAACUGUAUAUAGUACGGUAGAGAGAAAACACACUAGGGAAAAGGUGGAGAAAGAAUGGCGGUUAAAGCCAAAGCUUUCAAGCCAAUGAAGC
rnacentral:lncRNA from 1 species